CGGAGCGCCGCGGCUCUGGGGCUGCGCCGGGGCUGAGGGAGCCGCGCGGGCAGCCCGGAGAAGAGGGGCAGCGGAAAGAGCUCGUGGAUGCAAACACGAGUCUGCAAACUUCAUUAGUAACACAGACACACACGCACAGGCACACAAAGUGGAUGGCUAGGGAAAAUUAAAAAAAAAAAAAAAAAAAAAAAAAAAAAAAAGGAGGGGGCAGACUUGCUCUUUUAACUGUUCGGGAACUUAAAAGCAACGGGUCCAAAUUAAUUAUUCCGUCAGGGAGAUAUUUCUUUCUGGCUGGCUGUUUGUCUUUCUGCCUGCCUUUCUCUUUCCCUCUCUUUUAAUGGGGAUUUAAUGAAAAAUAUAUGUUUGCAAUGGGGUAAUGAACGUACAAUGCAACACCUCUGUAAAAGGAAAGAUACUAUAUCUGAGAUAGGGGGUAUCUGCCCAUACCGAGAUAAAGAGGAAUUUAUUUACAAGCACACGCGCACGCAUGCACGCACCCCGCAUCAUAUUUACACACAUAUACAUACAGCCUGCAUGCACCCAGCGCACAAAGCACAGCGCACUUUAUUUGGUGGCCGCCAUGUAAUUGCUUGGAGAGAUCAACAAAGUAAAAAGCAAAGCCUUCCGGAAUAUACGUCAACUGUAAACAGCCUCAUCAAAAUGAAGUAAAUAGCAGCCCAGGGAAGGGGGCUCUUUGCAUGCGAUACAUGUGUCAUGCAUAUAACAUGCAUCGUCUUCCACUUUCCCUACAAGUAUUGAUAUUUUAUUAAUAUUUCAUCUCCUAUAUUUUACUAGACACCUUUCCUUCUUCUUCCUUUUUUUUUUUCUUUUUUUUUUUCUUUUUUUCUUUUUUUGGUGUGUGGGGGGGAUUAUUAUGAUGAGAACUGGGGUGAAACGUACAGAUGUCAUUAUAAAUCGGAAUCUUCUACAAAUAUUUUCUUGCGUGGGAUUUAAGAAGAUUGCUUCUCAUUUGAAAAUCUAAUUAUCUUAACCUAAUACUGCAGAUGUGAAUAUGACUGACACUUUCAUUAAAAGAUAAUUAACUAAAACUAGGAAUAGACAUACUUUAAAAUACCCCCUACCGAAGAUAAAAACAUGACUAUUCAAAGAGCAUCCGAACGCACCGCAGGAACACGUGCGGCUUUUCGAUAAUGCUAUUCCAGCCAUGGGUAGACCAGUACUGGUCACUAAGCCUCAGCUACACGCCAGGGAUAUUUACAGCAGUGAGGACCCCGCGCAGGUGAACCAUAACCUCAGCACUGACAUGCCUUUGAAGUUCGCCAUUCCUGAGCCACACGUCAAAAGGUUCUCGUAGGCCUUAAGCGCCAGAAGCCAGCAGGAAGGUUUGAUCGCAGUCUUCCAUUAAGGGCACGCACCCACAACAAGGAACCAGCCCAAAUCCAGGUGGCAGAAAGCUGCACCUCUCCUGGCCCUGAACCCCCUGUGCCAGAGGAAGGGUUUGCGAGUGCUGGAACAACUCUAAGAGGAAAAUCCCCACCUGAUGAUGAAUGAAGGCUGCCCCAAAGGAAGCACAGGCCAGUGUCAGGGAACUGAGCUGCUAAAAGCAGAUGUUUAAGGUCAGAGUGAAGGUCCUGAUAGUUUUGGAGGGGGGGGGGAUAGGGUCUUUGGAAAGGGAAGGAAAAAAAAGACAUAAAAAAUGGGCAGCCUGAAAGUGCGGCUGCUCCAGGGCCAGAGCCAACAGAUCAGGGAGCGUAGAGCAGCCCUACGCCGACCCACAGAAACCUCACCUCAAACUUCAGGGAAGCCUCCAACUUCGGGAACAAUCAGGGGCACCUGAGGGUUCUGAAGAGGAACUUUAUUCCUUUUUCAGACCUCACCUAAGGCACCACACCAGCUCAUCAGUGACCAAAAAUCAGAGAGCACAUGUACACAGCUCUGCAUAAGCCCCGCUCCCUUUGAAGGCAGCAAGGCAACCAGCGGUAUUCUGCAUCCUUGUUUACAGGGUGGGAAAAAAAAAUGCAAACAAAGAGGGAAAAUGAAAUCUCUGCCACUGGCUCCUACUUAUCAGUUGGAGGGGGUAUGAUGGAAAGGGGCUUUUAGGCUUAAAUUGUAGACGGAACGGGACUGUGAGAUAGAAGGAUGCAUUGUCCAUUCAAGCGCAUGCCUGAAGGAUGGCAACACAUUUCCUAAGACUGGAGACAAUUAAAUACAAUGUGAUGAAGAAACACCUGAGAACAAUACAUCUAUUUCAAAUUCAAGCGAAGAAACACGUAUACUUAAUGUCACAGAAGAAUAAGGAAACGAAGAUAAUUUAGUUUUAAAGUCGUCCCCCCGCACCUCCCCCACCACCUCCUUUAUUCCUGGUGCUUUUUUCCUGGUGAAACAUCAAUAUCAUUAAUGUCAUUAAUGUCAAAACACCAAACGUCAGAACAGUCAAGUCAUUCUUUUUGGGCUGCAGAUUUUUUUUCCCUUUCUCUCUUCUUGGAGGGGGUUAUAGGUUUAUGGUGUUCUUGAGUUACAGCUGAAGGAACAAAGGGGGGGGGGGGUGGGGGGGAGGACACAGGCAGGAAUUGCGAGAGGAGAGUCCACAUUUUUCAGGGUUUCUUCUGUCACUGUUUACUGUCCUUCCCAACGUUUCAAAUCUCCUCUCUCUUUCUCUCUCUUUCCCUUUCUCUCUCCCUAAAAAUAGUAAGCUAUCGGAGGGGGGGGGGGGGGUUAUGGGGGGAGAGGGGAAAAAAAAAAAAAAAGGCACUACGGGAUGUUAACAGUUUAGAAGAAACCCGGGGAUCGCCACGUAGCUAGGAAAAAUCGAAGAAGGUUAAUUCCGGGAGGCAGCAGCAGCAGGUACCUUUUUAAUGCUGAAAUGGGCAUGCUAAUUGUGAACUAUGCGGUCAGAAGCUCCUUCUAAAAUAUUCAGUAACUUAUUUACUGGAAUUUAACAAGCUGUGUACUUCAAAGCUUCUUUCACCUCUAAUUAAGUGCAUAAACUCUGUGAAUCGUAUUGGCAACUUGAGAUUUGGCACAGCAGCAGCAGUGCUGAAGCAGCCCCCACCGCUAGGAAAGGUACAAACACAGGCAAGUGACCUGUGAUGGGCUGAGAGACCUCGCUUACCAGGAUUUGCUCACGGUUAUGCUUCUGGCAACUGACAUUUCCAUUUUACUCAAAGCUUCUACCUUUGUGUCAUCAGACAAAGCCCCAUGAGUGGUGGCAGAGCAAACUGUAGCCUUCAUUCUCAAGUUUGAAGAGGAAAAGUUAUUUACAUGCCUAAAUCGCAGAACAUGAUGUUCAAAGGUCACUUUCUGUUACUCAUUGUUAUAAACCACUAAGUUUUCCAAAAGCUCUAUAAGGAAAAGGCACAUAGUUUGGGCAGAAACAUGUAAUUGGUUGUUUUCUUCUUUUAUUUUCUUUUCUUAUUGUAUGAUCUGAUUUUUGUACUACCAGAGGAAUGUCGAAGAUGAGAUGUUUCUGUCGUUCCGUACCAUGAACAAUUGCUUAAAGGGACCAUCAGAGACUGCAAGACAAAUCUAUGACCCUCCUUAAGAUUUUUAUGUUCUGAAGAGGAAUGACUUUUAAUUGGUUAGGAUUUUAGAGUUUAUGAUGUAAGGAAAAGUACUGAUUCCUGUAAUGACUGAUCCUUUACUGUUUUUAUUAGACUUUCAACUGAGCAUUUCUUAAACUUUCUUCUUAUGAAUUUAGACAAAUAUUUAAUUGUUUUAUUGCUGUAAUGCCAUUUCCCCCCACCCCAUUUUAGACAUAUUUUCCUGAAUGUGAGCCUGAAUUUAGUGACAAGCAGUCUGAUUUCCAGAAAUGUAUUGUUAUCAGUAAAAGUACUCCAUACCAAAAUGUGUGAAUGGAGAUGUUAAGAGAAAGCACAAAUAAUGCCUUUAUUCAUUACGAGAUGAAGCCCUGAGAAGUCAAGGUUAUUUAAUGGAAAUGAAUAAAUGCAGCUUGAAAUAUCUUUAUUUUCCAAACUGCAAGAGCAACUCAAACAAUAAGGAUAGCAUAUAAAGAAACAAACAACAAAGUCAGUUGAUUUCCUUAAAAAAUAUUUGGAACUUAAAAAAAAAAAAGAGGGAAAGCCGUCAUUUGACAUGGUGAUUAGGGUAGACUGAAGGACUCGGCUCAGAGGCUGCUUAUGCUGCUAUUGCACAGCAAAACUGUGUAGGGCAUUUAAUCUCUCUUAGUUUUCCUGUUUGUAAGUAACAAGCUGAUAAUGCUCACUUCAGUCUAGUGUUGUGCAAUAUUCAGAUGUUUCACAAUACAAUAGAAAAGUGUGUCACAGUGUACUUAAAAGUUGCCUGUUAAACUUCAUGUUUUUGAGAUGAAAGAAAAUUUCUGCUAUGCAUCUUGAAAGAGCUCAUUCCUUAAGGUGGUGGUGGCAGCUUUAAGCUUUUCUGAGAUAUAUUUUAUUUUUGUUUGUUUUUUUAACUGCUUAAUGGGCUAAUUUUUGGUAUCAUCUCUGGAAUAUGUAUGUCUCCUAUGACUGAAAGGAAGGAUGGUUGAUGCAAAUGAAAAAAGUCUCUUUUAGGAGAUCCUGUGAUCAGUAGAAUUCUGUCACCAUCACAAAAACAUACUUAGCAUGGCAUAUAUUUCUCAUUUCAGCUAAUAAACCUAACAUCUUUGUCUGGACAACAUCUCAAGCCUCUUUGCUAAAUGAUAUUACUGGAAGACUCCUUAUCAUUAAAGGAAUUGAGAUGGAGUCAGAUAAUAUGUAAAUUACAUAGCUUUUUCCCAUAAAUAAGCAAAUUGAUGUUUCCCAGUGUAGUAAAACACUUCUUAUUGGUACUGAUAAUACCACAGUCUUGAAGAGGUUAUCUAAAAAAGAUAAACUGAGAAAAAUUGGAUGCAACAUAUUUUCAAGUGGACAUCUACAUAAAUGUCUUCAGAUCAGGACUGUGUUUCUGAAGUUACUCUCCUGAUUAUCUCCACUUACUGUGCUAUGUUUAACACAGUGUUAAUGUCUUCUCAUGGGCAAGAACUAGCUUUCUUUUGGAGAACACUAAGCUGAGAUAUAUUGUCUGGAUACUGACGUCAGUACUCCAUUCUCAAACAGAUAUUAGGUUCAUGGAACCAUAUGAAGUGAUCCUGAAGUGAGGGCAGUAGGACUUCAACACUAAUUCUAAAGAGCCUGGUCAUAUUCUGUUUGUUACACUACUUGUUAUUCCUAAACACAUUUCUCAGAUCUGUAGGAAAUGGUCAUGGGCUCUUUCUGAGAAAGGCUUGAGCAGAGGUAGAUACCACCAAGCUAGAGUUAUUUAGAAAGAAACAAUUCUUUCCCCUUGGUUUGUACUUGAGCAACAAGGACAGUGCCCAGAAUAUUUUGCAUUGUAUUUCUAGCAUAACCUAAAUUUUUCUUCCGCAAUAUGGGCAUAUUAGCCACCCACAUUUCAAUUAUCUGGGACUACAGGUACAAUAGCUUAUUUGCUGUAGAUUGUCUCAUAUUCUAUAAAUAGAGAAAGAGAAUAUUUCUUGACAGAACAAGACAAAACUUGGAUCACUGUGAAUCUCCUCUCAAUAAUUUGGAUGACUGCACAUUUUGUACUGCAUGUAAGGAUAUCAGCAGGGAAUUAGUGAAAGUUGUACAAAACCUAUAUAAAACUAAAAGUUAUCUCUACAGAAAAUAUUGGAAAUACUAUUGAUGACUACUCUCAAAAUGGGCCCAUAGUAGUGCAGUUAUUUUUUCUCUUGAGUAUUCUAAGCCAUGCCCUAGGUUUGCCUAUAGCUUUAUGUUCUUGCUGUGGAGCCCUGAAAGGUUUUCCGGCAUUGAACAGUAGUCAGAGUCUAUGACAUGAGAGAUAUUAAAAAUAAUAAUAAUAAUAAAUCAUUUGUGCCUGAAACUUCCAGCAUUUAGGGUAGGAGAGGCAACUAAUCAAAGACAGAACCAAAAUGGUUUAUAAGAACAUCCAAAUUAGGAAUGCAGAAUUUUACUUUUGAGAUCAUCUGCAAAAUGACAAAGAUGUCCUUUACCUGCAUCAUUACCAGUAUUAAGCACCAGCUCACAGCUGAAGUACAUGUCAUAUCACUGAUACAUGCUUGUCAGAUGCCAUCGAAUAUAUUGAAUCUUACAGAAAAAAAAUGCAAAACUAUUAUAUGAUAACUGUAUUAUUAUAUGAUACAAAAGUAUGUGUUAGGAUUGCUGGUAUUGUAAAGAUUAAAUGAGAGAGUAAUCCAUUAACAUAACCUUUCAUGUAUCAUCUACCUUUAUUUAAAUCCAGAGUGGUUUAAGUUCUUAAGGGGGCAUCUUUUGGACUCAUUCAUUAAUGGUGAAAAUGACUAAUUUGUGUAUAGUCUAAUCAUGUUACUAUUUCAAGUUACUUUAAUUGCAGCACUUAGUAAGUUCGUGAAGCAGAAUUUCAUUCCAUCUGGUGAUUACUUAUUUACUUACAUUAAUCAUACAGUCAGAAAACAAGGAAUUAAAAAAAAAAAAAAGGAGCUACUGAAAACUUGAUUGAUCAUACUGGAGAAAUUAAUGUUAAUAAAUGUGUCCAUAUGGAACUUGAAAAUUUCAACACCCUUCAAGAAAUUAAUGUAGAAAACAAACAGGGAACUGCAAAUGCUGUGAUUUCCCUAAGAAACUUAAUUUUCCUACUAUUUGAACUAGCUAAUAUAUCAAAAGUAGACAAAUAUAAAAAAUAGCUAUUGAAGCUAUUUACAUUUUAUUAUUUUUUCAAUUCUUGUAUUGUAUAUACUUACUGAGUUUGCUUUCACUCUGCUGUGAAUCUCUGAGACAAGCUAGAUACUUGUGGGGACCUAUUAUGUUAGCUUAGGGAUAAAAACAGUGCUCCCACUUGGUCAUAUUAGGUCCUUCAGUAAACUAUUUUCAGGCUUGAACAGGUGCAUGACUGACCUGAGGAAGAGGUACGUUAAACAUUUUAGAAGUCUGUUACUUUCCAAGUCAUUAGUCCUAUUCUUCUGACGUCUCUAAAAUGCCCUAAAGCAAUCUACAGAUCAUUACCCUCUAACAGAUGACUUUUAGAAUUCUAUUCUCCAUCCACAACAAUUAUACAGAUGGACCUCUAUGUAGUGUAGUAUGACCAUCCUUGUCUGCUGUUUCAAACGUGGAAGCCAUUUUGUAUUCUUUAUAACUUGGUUGGUUGCUAAUAUAUCAAAAUCCAUAGUGAUUUAUACUGGCACAAAGUAUCUGUUUACAUCACAAGCAGCAGUUUUGCUGUACUGUUAUGGACGUUUAGACUACACAAAACAACAGGUUGCAAUGCUGUGCUUUCAGAGCUGCAGUGGUAUGUGAGUGGGCACAUGUGCACAGCAGAUCACUAGUUAUUGCAGCACAGGCAGCCUCUGCUUCUGCUAUAUAUUUUCACAACUGAUAGGCUUUUUUUUUUUUUUUUUUUUUGUUUGGAGGUUGUCAUAUGGUAUAACACUUUUACUAGUUGACUCCUCCUACUUUUCUUCAAACCACAUCCUGAUUUUUGGCCUCAGAAACCAAACAUAUGCACAGCUUGCAGAACAACACAUGAUAUUGUUUCUGUAUAACAUCAUACCAGCUGGGAUAUAAAUUCUUACAGACAAUUUUAUGCGAAUGAAAAAUACCUACAUUAAGACAUUUUCCAUAGCUAUGCAAUAUAUACCACAGUAGAGCAUAUGGUCUACAGUCAGAGAUCCUCACUUAUAACUAUAACAAAAGCCCCAAGUCAGCCUCAGAUCUUCAGACAGUGUAAUUUUUAAUAGAUCAUUCUAAUUUCUUUCUAUUUUUUUCAUACUUCUUCUAUUGUGUUUUGGAUUUCUGGAAUCUAACAUCAGCUAUUUUGCUGUAUCGUUGAAGACCCUUAAUCUUUUUGAUUUAUCCAGUGUGGAGCACCAUAAAGCUAUUAUUUAACUAAAAAGCAACAAAUAUUUGGUGAAACUCUAAGUUGUAUCAUAAUCUGAAGAUAUAUCAAUAGCAAGAACUUAGAAUUUGUAGGAAAUAUAUUUCAACAUUUAUUUUCACUAUUAGAAAACUGUUCUAUAUCUGAUUUGUCAGUUUUCCCCAGAUUUUUUUUUUGUGGGUGGAGUACUUAUUUUAUUCUCCUUUCAUGAUAAAUAAGAUUUGGAUAUAAAUAUUUAUCACAUGACCUACAAACUUUAACCAAGUCACUCCCAAUACUCUUUUUCGAUAAUCAGUUAAUCACAGUAAAUAAUUUUCUCCUGCUCUCCAGUUAUGCAACUUUUUAUUUCCUUCUACCGUAUCUGUUAAAAUAUGGACAGCAGAACUAUGGGAAAUAUUCCAACAGUUUCAUCAGGAUUGAAAGAUCACAUUAGCUCUGUUCAUGCAGUUUUGCAGUAGGUACUCAUGUUGAAUUGCUAGUCCACUAUGGCCCAUAAAUUCAUGCAGAGCUGAUGCAUUUUGAGGCAAUAUACCAUUGUUUUGAGGGGUGGAAUUCUUUUGUAUUGAUGCAUAAGCUUGUAUUCAUCUCUUCUAAAAUGCUCUUUAAUUUUUUUUAAAUUAUUAUUAUUUUUAAUGUUCCUAACUUGCCAAGAGAUCUCUUCUUUCCUGAGAUCAUCAUUAUGUACUACUCACGUGCCUUUCAUCCUUAACACGGUAAUUUCUAUAUGCACCUCCAAUGAGGUGACCUCAGAGCUCAAAAUAUUCUCAGCUUCAGAGCUGAGAAUACUGAGCAGCACUGGGCCUAGAGCUGAUCCCCGAUGAAUAACAUUAAAAAGAGUCAAUAACAAUUCUCAUUUUAAGGUAUAUUUUGAUCACCUGUUGACCAACUUUUAAUGAAUUGAAAUUAUGAAUAUUAAUGCAAUGUAGUAGAUUCUUUUUCUUAAUAAAAAUAUCAUAAAAUAAACUUUCAUUGUGCCUUUAUCAAUUAAACCAUCAGAAGAUGCAUAUCCCAAAGAUAGAUAAAAAAAUUAGUUGGCAAUGUAGAAAAGAAAACUCUAAGAAUUACUGUUCUUCAAUUUGCUCUGCACAUGUAACUUCAUUUCAUCUUUGUGAAACAGUUCAUAUAAUAAUACUGUUCAUAUUUCAGAACUGGAGAGAUUCUGAUUUUUCUGACAUACAUAUAUCUUGUAAAACAUGAAGGGGCUUUUUGAAUUUAUUGAUGUUUUCUUUAAGAAGCUUACAAAACUGGAGUUGGG
ensembl:lncRNA